rnacentral:rRNA from 1 species
GACGAACGCUGGCGGCGUGCUUAACACAUGCAAGUCGAGCGGUAAGGCCCUUUCGGGGGUACACGAGCGGCGAACGGGUGAGUAACACGUGGGUGACCUGCCCUUAGCUCUGGGAUAAGCCUGGGAAACUGGGUCUAAUACCGGAUAUGACUCCAUGACGCAUGUUGUGGGGUGGAAAGCCUUGUGCGGCUGAGGAUGGGCCCGCGGCCUAUCAGCUUGUUGGUGGGGUGAUGGCCACCAAGGCGACGACGGGUAGCCGGCCUGAGAGGGCGACCGGCCACACUGGGACUGAGAUACGGCCCAGACUCCUACGGGAGGCAGCAGUGGGGAAUCUUGCGCAAUGGGCGAAAGCCUGACGCAGCGACGCCGCGUGAGGGAUGACGGCCU